UUAGAGUUUUGAUCCUGGCUCUGGAUGAACGCUGGCGGCGUGCCUAAUACAUGCAAGUCGAACGCACAGCGAAAGGUGCUUGCACCUUUCAAGUGAGUGGCGAACGGGUGAGUAACACGUGGACAACCUGCCUCAAGGCUGGGGAUAACAUUUGGAAACAGAUGCUAAUACCGAAUAAAACUUAGUAUCGCAUGAUACCAGGUUAAAAGGCGCUACGGCGUCACCUAGAGAUGGAUCCGCGGUGCAUUAGUUAGUUGGUGGGGUAAAGGCCUACCAAGACAAUGAUGCAUAGCCGAGUUGAGAGACUGAUCGGCCACAUUGGGACUGAGACACGGCCCAAACUCCUACGGGAGGCUGCAGUAGGGAAUCUUCCACAAUGGGCGAAAGCCUGAUGGAUGCAACGCCGCGUGUGUGAUGAAGGCUUUCGGGUCGUAAAGCACUGUUGUAUGGGAAGAAAAGUUAAGGUAUGGAAUGCCUUACCGACGUCCUCNANGGC
rnacentral:rRNA from 1 species